UCUAAAGUCUUGGUCAGGAUAUGAACUAU
rnacentral:piRNA from 1 species